CCUACGGGUGGCAGCAGUGAGGAAUAUUGGUCAAUGGUCGGGAGACUGAACCAGCCAAGCCGCGUGAGGGAUGAAGGUACAGAGUAUCGUAAACCUCUUUUGUCAGGGAACAAAGGCGGGGACGUGUCCCCGGAUGAGUGUACCUGAAGAAAAAGCAUCGGCUAACUCCGUGCCAGCAGCCGCGGUAAUACGGAGGAUGGGGGCGGUAUCCGGAUUUAUUGGGUUUAAAGGGUUCGCAGGCGGUCUGUAAAGUCAGCGGUAAAAGCCCGGGGCUCAACCCCGGCCCGCCGUUGAAACUGGCGGUCUCGAGUGGGCGAGAAGUAUGCGGAAUGCGUGGUGUAGCGGUGAAAUGCAUAGAUAUCGCGCAGAACUCCGAUUGCGAAGGCAGCAUGCCGGCUCCACACUGACGCUGAGGCACGAAAGCGUGGGUAUCGAACAGGAUUAGAUACCCCAGUAGUC
rnacentral:rRNA from 1 species